AUGAUGAGGGAGGUGAAGGGGCUCCACGACGCGCCUCCAACAAGGAAACGACGUCCUAGGACGCCGUCGACGCCGGCAUCGACCAAGGCCGAGCAAGGCUUUCACCCGGAGGUCACCAAACCCAUCAUCACCACAGCCAAUCACCACCGACGGCGACCAAGCACUCUACACCGCUCUCCACCGCCAACCGCCUCUUACACGGCCAGGAAAACCACCACGGCCCCACACGCCGUCAUGGCAGCCCCGCACCCACCGCCAAAGAGCGGCGCCGCCGCGCCGCCAUCCUCCCUCCUUGCUACCGCAGCCAAACCACAAUGCCGCUUGCAGCCCACUGAACUCGAGGCUGACCACCACGCAUCAGAUCUGGGGCAGCCUCGCCCGGAUCCGUGCCCCGGACGCUGCCGGGACCCGUCGAAGGAGCACGAGCAAGCUGGGAACACCACGAGCCGCUCCCCCGACGGCCACCACACCCGAACCGCAGGAGCCCCGCCCGGAUCCGUGCCUCGGACAGCCGCACCGCCACACGCCACCAGCGCCACCGCACCACAGCCGCCCCCGUCGUGGCGCCGCCGCGCCACCAUCCAAGAGCUGCGGCACGCCGCCACCACCGCAGCUCCCCCGGCCGAGGGAGGGGACGCCAGGCAUCCCGCGCGCACCGCCGGCCGCCGAACACCGAAGAGUCGCCGCCGCAGCCCGCUGGAGAGCCUCCACCGCGAGAUCCAGAUGCAUCGCACCAGAUCGACGAUGGCCAGCCUCAGCGCCGCCCCCACUCUCCCGACGAGGGAGAGGAGGAAACAGCGCCACCACCGAGCCCGGGGCCGCCGCCCCGGCUUGCCUGCGCCUGGCCAGAUGCAGCCGCCGCCGGAUGCAGGCCUUCGUCUAGGGCCGAAGACGCGCGGCGCGCGACGAGGGUGCCCCGCCACCGCCGUCCGCCGAGCGGGCUUUGCUCGUCGGCCUCCUCCGGCGGCGGCGGGCGGAGCGAGGGAGGAGAGGGGAACGGAGGCGGCGGCGGCGGCUAGGUUAUCGCCCGAGCCGCCCCCCAGGGAACAACGCGAGCGCGGA
rnacentral:rRNA from 1 species